rnacentral:sRNA from 1 species
CACACCCAGCUGCUUCUGUAUUUUUAGUAGAGACGGGGUUUCACCAUGUUGGCCAGGCUGGUCUCAAAUUCUUGGCUUUAAGUGAUCCACCCGCCUUGACCUCCCAAAGUGCUGGGGUUACGGGCGUGAGCCACCGUGCCCGACCUGCUCUGAUCUUUCUGAACUCUGCAGCCUGAGAGAUUGGGGCUGGUAAAGACUGCGGGUUGCCAAACAUAACUAGAAACGUGGGUUAGGGGGUUGUGGAAGACGAACUGAUGCCCCGUGGCUUGUAAAGGCUGAGAGUUCCCUUAUUUCUCCUUAAGGCCUCAUGGGGCUGAAGAACCUGGAGGAGUGUGCCAGGGCCAUUUGUCCUCCAGUUUACUUGAUGCCAAAUUUCUCCUGUGAGCAGGUUGUACUCGUAAAACAAGGAUCAUCGAUGUUGUCUACAAUGCAUCUAAUAAUGAGCUGGUUCGUACCAAGACCCUGGUGAAGAAUUGCAUCGUGCUCAUCGACAGCACACCGUACCGACAGUGGUACGAGUCCCACUAUGCGCUGCCCCUGGGCCGCAAGAAGGGAGCCAAGCUGACUCCUGAGGAAGAAGAGAUUUUAAACAAAAAACGAUCUAAAAAAAUUCAGAAGAAAUAUGAUGAAAGGAAAAAGAAUGCCAAAAUCAGCAGUCUCCUGGAGGAGCAGUUCCAGCAGGGCAAGCUUCUUGCGUGCAUCGCUUCAAGGCCGGGACAGUGUGGCCGAGCAGAUGGCUAUGUGCUAGAGGGCAAAGAGUUGGAGUUCUAUCUUAGGAAAAUCAAGGCCCGCAAAGGCAAAUAAAUCCUUGUUUUGUCUUCACCCAUGUAAUAAAGGUGUUUAUUGUUUUGUUCCCACAUUUGUGUUGCCUGAAUAUAUGACUGUUUUCUCUGCUUUA